UCCUACGGGGCGCAGCAGUGAGGAAUAUUGGUCAAUGGCCGUAAGGCUGAACCAGCCAAGUCGCGUGAAGGAAGAAGGAUCUAUGGUUUGUAAACUUCUUUUAUAGGGGAAUAAAGGUAUCCACGUGUGGAUAUUUGCAUGUACCCUAUGAAUAAGCAUCGGCUAACUCCGUGCCAGCAGCCGCGGUAAUACGGAGGAUGCGAGCGUUAUCCGGAUUUAUUGGGUUUAAAGGGAGCGUAGAUGGGUUGUUAAGUCAGUUGUGAAAGUUUGCGGCUCAACCGUAAAAUUGCAAUUGAUACUGGCAG
rnacentral:rRNA from 1 species